GGUGCUUCUUCUGCUGUCCCCUGCCCUUCAGAAGAAGUAGCAAGAGGCAGUAAUUAUAAGAAUACCCGUGUUAGAGCCCUGCAUUGGGACUGGGAUCCCGCGGGACCCAACGGAAAGUGAUACUGUUUAAGUGUUAAUGUAGCUAUAAGAUACGAUAGGAUAAGAUAUGCUGAGUUAAAAUAUAAGAUAGGCUAAGACAAAAUAUAUUAAUAUAAGCUAAGUUGAAAUAUAAUAAGAUAAGAUAGGUUAAGUUAUAUGAUAAGAUAGGCUAAGUUAAAAUAUAAUAAGAUAGGUUAAGUUAAGAUAUGACAAGAUAGGUUAAGAUAAAAUAUGAUAGGCUAAGUUAACAUAUGAUAAGGUAGGCUAUGUUAAGAUAAGAGAUUUGCAAUAAAACAUAUUUACUUUUCAAA